rnacentral:rRNA from 1 species
CCCUUAGAUGUCCUGGGCUGCACGCGCGCUACACUGAUGCGUCCAAUAAGCACCUAACCUAAUCCGAAAGGAACGGGUAACCUUUGCAAAGCACAUCGUGAUGGGGAUAGAUUAUUGCAAUUAUUAGUCUUGAACGAGGAAUUCCUAGUAAGCACAAGUCAUCAGCUUGUGUUGAUUACGUCCCUGCCCUUUGUACACACCGCCCGUCGCUCCUACCGAUUGAAUGUUCCGGUGAGCUCUUCGGACUGCGCGGUCUGCAGUUUCUGCGUUCCGUGCGGAAAGUUGCGCAAACCUUAACAUUUAGAGGAAGGAGAAGUCGUAACA